UACAGAGGGGGCGAGCGUUGUUCGGAAUUACUGGGCGUAAAGGGCGCGUAGGCGGCCUUCUAAGUCGAACGUGAAAUCCCCGGGCUCAACCCGGGAACUGCGUCCGAUACUGGGAGGCUUGAAUCCGGGAGAGGGAUGCGGAAUUCCUGGUGUAGCGGUGAAAUGCGCAGAUAUCAGGAGGAACACCGGUGGCGAAGGCGGGUCUCUGGGACGGUACUGACGCUGAGACGCGAAAGCGUGGGGAGCGAACAGG
rnacentral:rRNA from 1 species